rnacentral:rRNA from 1 species
AACGAACGCUGGCGGCAGGCCUAACACAUGCAAGUCGAGCGGACCCUUCGGGGUUAGCGGCGGAUGGGUGAGUAACGCGUGGGAAUAUGCCCUUCUCUACGGAAUAGUCCUGGGAAACUGGGGGUAAUACCGUAUACGCCCUUUGGGGGAAAGAUUUAUCGGGGAAGGAUUAGCCCGCGUUGGAUUAGGUAGUUGGUGUGGUAAUGGCCUACCAAGCCGACGAUCCAUAGCUGGUUUGAGAGGAUGAUCAGCCACACUGGGACUGAGACACGGCCCAGACUCCUACGGGAGGCAGCAGUGGGGAAUCUUAGACAAUGGGGGCAACCCUGAUCUAGCCAUGCCGCGUGAGUGAUGAAGGCCUUAGGGUUGUAAAGCUCUUUCAGCUGGGAAGAUAAUGACGGUACCAGCAGAAGAAGCCCCGGCUAACUCCGUG